CGAGCUACAGAAGAAAAAACAAAACAAACAGUUCUUCAGUCUUCUGCUUCUCCAGAACACUUCAAAAUAGCGAAUUCGGUGAAUUGAGGCUUGAGACCAUCUUGAGAAUUUGUAAUAUUGUGACCUUAGUGUACACUGCUGCUGUCAGUACAAAAGUCUUACAAAAAUAUUACCUACAAUUAAUUGCGCCUUUUAGGGAAAAUGGCAAUGCGGUGCUGUGUGCCCUUCUGCAAAACCACGGCGGAGGUCGUCUCCGAAUCCGAGGAGAUUACAUUUCAUUUACGAGUUCCCCAGAGAAGUGCAUCUCCGUGCUGCUUGGCUCAGAGCCCUCGGCAAACAAGACACUCUCCUGCCAGAGCCUGCUGUGGUCUGCUCGCAGCAUUUUCUGAACGAUGACAUUUAUGAAACAGAAAGUGGCUCAAGGCAGAUUCAUACUGGCGCUGUCCCCUCACCAGUGCUGGUCUGCAUGAUAUGCCUGGACACUCGCAGCAAGC